CAGCCGCCACGGUAAUACGAAGGGGGCUAGCGUUGCUCGGAAUUACUGGGCGUAAAGGGCGCGUAGGCGGACAGUUCAGUCGGGGGUGAAAGCCCGGGGCUCAACCUCGGAAUUGCCUUCGAUACUGGCUGUCUUGAGUAUGAGAGAGGUGUGUGGAACUCCGAGUGUAGAGGUGAAAUUCGUAGAUAUUCGGAAGAACACCAGUGGCGAAGGCGACACACUGGCUCAUUACUGACGCUGAGGCGCGAAAGCGUGGGGAGCAAACAGGAUUAGAUACCCGGGUAGUCCCUGUCUCUUAUAU
rnacentral:rRNA from 1 species